rnacentral:rRNA from 1 species
UACGGAGGGGGCAAGCGUUAUCCGGAUUUACUGGGUUUAAAGGGUGCGUAGGUGGGUUGGUAAGUCAGUGGUGAAAUACUUUCGCUUAACGAAGGAACUGCCAUUGAUACUAUCAAUCUUGAAUACAGUGGAGGUGGGCGGAAUGCGUCAUGUAGUGGUGAAAUACUUAGAUAUGACGCAGAACACCUAUUGCGAAGGCAGCUCGCUACACUGUUAUUGACACUGAGGCACGAAAGCGUGGGGAUCAAACAGG